GCCGCUACACAAAGCGCAGACGCCGUCGAGUCGUGACGGAGACAUCGACGGACUCUCGAACGGUUGCCGUCUCAGCUCGCCAAACCUCUGCUCCACCUCCUUUGCCACAGAUCUAUCAAGUUUUAGCUGUGAAGACAUGAGUCUCCUCUGUGUACCCAUAGUAGCCAAUUCACAAACAAGUAUUGAAACAGGCAAUCAAAUGUAGACGUUGAAGCAAACAAUCAAGUUCAAGAGAUUUCAUCAAGCUUUAGUAAUUUUAGGGAUUAAUGUUUUCCACAGAUCUAUCAAGUUAUAAUAAUUUCAAGGUUAGCUAGUAAAUUUUACUUAAUUUGUGAUUUCUAAUUGUGGUGGAAGAUUAUGUUAAUGAAAGGAUUG
rnacentral:lncRNA from 1 species